GUUGUUGGAGAUGGUUGUGCCUGAGUGAUAGUACAGAAGAAACAUUUAGUACAUCGCAGAACAACUACUAUCAUUUAAGUAAUAUGAUUUCACCAUAGCAAAAGUAUAGUGAUCCAAGACACUGAUGAGUUGAAAUCUACUUAUGAUAAAGCAGAACAACCUGGGUACAACUCAUUUAAUGAGUUGAAAUAUAAGAAUAAGCAAUUUUAUUUCACUUUUUCCUCUGUUGCAGAACAACAUUGCUUAUAUUUCAGACUGCCAACCUACUUUCAAAUCAAGCAUAAAUGCAGGAUACUAUUUUACAUUUCAGACUGAAGGCCACAGAAAUUGUUUUACACCAGCAAUAUCUUAAUAAAUGUGUCUUUGAAUAAGAGGAUCUCUGGAUCUGUUUUUCAAAUUUCCUUCAAACUUGACAAGUUCUCAGUUCAAAAUAUGUAGACAUAAAAAUGAGACAGUGACAAUCUAUGGAAGUGUGAAUUUAAAGAAUUAACAAUUGUCCAAAGUAAUUUCCCGGUUAUCAAAACAGCCCCUUGAUUUGUUAAGUUUGCAUAGGUAAGUAGUUAAUGUCAUGCAACCUACAAAUUUAAGACAUAUAGACUAAUCUGUGAAGCAUGUAGGAGAAUGGAAAAGAAGAAAAAUCACCCAGCAUGCAGAAAUUCUACUUUGGUUAUCAAUAAUGAACUCUAGCAAAGAUAAGAAAUCACAGACAUAAUUGAUUAUGUUUCUGCAAAGGCUAACCAGAAUCAUGAAUUGAUUUAAUCCAUUGACCUGGCAUAUGCUUUCCAAUUUUAAGUGCUUAUCUUCGAUUAGAUUAUCUGUUGUUUAAUAUCUACUUAUUGUUUUUGGCAAGCUCCUUAUUCUAGUAUGUUUUGUUGCAACUUACAAAGCUUUAGAGCUUGUUACUAUCUCUCACAUUCAAUU
rnacentral:misc_RNA from 1 species